rnacentral:rRNA from 1 species
AUUGAACGCUGGCGGCAGGCCUAACACAUGCAAGUCGAGCGGAUGAAGGGAGCUUGCUCCUGGAUUCAGCGGCGGACGGGUGAGUAAUGCCUAGGAAUCUGCCUGGUAGUGGGGGAUAACGUCCGGAAACGGGCGCUGAUACCGCAUACGUCGUGCGGGAGCAAGUGGGGGAGCUUCGGACCUCACGCUAUCAGAUGAGCCUAGGUCGGAUUAGCUAGUUGGUGGGGUAAAUGCCUACCAAGGCGACGAUCCGUAACUGGUCUGAGAGGAUGAUCAGUCACACUGGAACUGAGACACGGUCCAGACUCCUACGGGAGGCAGCAGUGGGGAAUAUUGGACAAUGGGCGAAAGCCUGAUCCAGCCAUGCCGCGUGUGUGAAGAAGGUCUUCGGAUUGUAAAGCACUUUAAGUUGGGAGGAAGGGCAGUAAGUUAAUACCUUGCUGUUUUGACGUUACCAACAGAAUAAGCACCGGCUAACUUCGUG